CCAUUCUACCUCCCUUCCACCGAAUUUGGGAAGAGCCCUACGCAACACCUACAUACACACACACACACAUACACACACACACACACACACACACACCUACGCAACACCUACAUACACACACACACAUACACACACACACACACACACACCUACACAACAGCCACCUACACAACAGCCACCUACACAACACCCACCUACACACAUACACAACAGCCACCUACACACACACACAUACACACACACACACACACACACCUACACAACAGCCACAUACACAACAGCCACAUACACACCACUACACAACAGCCACCUACACAACAGACACAUACACAACACUACACAACACUACACACACACAACACACACACACACAACAGCCACAUACACAACAGUCACAUACACAACACUACUACACAACACUACUACACAACAGCCACCUACACAACCCUACACAACAGCCAACUACACGCCCUACACAACAGCCACACACACACAACAGCCACAUACACAACUACACAACAGCCACCUACACAACACUACACAACAGCCACACACACAACACUACACAACAGCCAACUACACACCCUACACAACAGCCACACACACACAACAGCCACACACACAACACUACACAACACUACACAACAGCCACAUACACAACAGACACAUACACAACAGCCACACACACAACAGCCACACACACAACAGCCACACACACAACAGCCACACACACAACAGACACAUACACAACAGCCACAUACACAACACUACACAACACUACACAACAGCCAACUACACAACAGCACUACACAACAGCCACAUACACAACAGACACAUACACAACACUACACAACACUACACAACAGCCACACACACAACACUACACAACAGACACACACACCUACACACACAACUACACAACAGCCACGUACACAACUACACACACCUACACAACAGCCACAUACACAACAGCCACACACACAACAGACACACACACAACAGCCACAUACACAACCCUACACAACACUACACAACAGCCACAUACACACACACAACAGCCACAUACACAACACUACACAACACAACACUACACAACAGCCACAUACACACACACAACAGCCACAUACACAACACUACACGACACUACACAACACAACACUACACAACAGCCACACACACAACAGCCACAUACACAACACUACACAACAGCCACAUACACAACAGCCAACUACACAACAGCCAACUACACAACCCUACACAACUACACAACGGCCAUCUACACAACAGCCAACUACACAACACCUACACAACAGCCACAUACACAACAGCCACAUACACAACAGUCAACUACACAACAGCCAACUACACACAACUACACAACAGCCAACUACACAACAGCCAACUACACAAAACUACACAACAGCCACAUACACAACAGUCAACUACACAACAGCCAACUACACACCCCUACACAACAGCCACAUACACAACAGCCACACACACAACAGCCACAUACACAACAGCCACACACACAACAGCCACACACACACCACUACACAACCCUACACACACACACAACAGCCAACUACACAACAGCCACAUACACAACAGCCACAUACACAACACAUACACACACAACAGCCACAUACACAACACUACACAACAGCACUACACAACACUACACAACAGCCACACACACACACACACAUAAACACUACAGCCACAUACACAACAGCCACACACACCUACACAACACACACACACACACAACAGCCACACACACAACACACACACACACACACACAUACACAACACUACACAACACUACACAACAGCCACAUACACAACAGACACAUACACAACAGACACAUACACAACACUACACAACACUACACAACAGCCACACACACAACAGCCACACACACAACAGCCACAUACACAACAGCCACAUACACACUACACAACACUACACAACAGCCACAUACACAACAGCCACACACACACACACAUACACAGUCCUACACGACAGCCACCCAGAAGAAAACUG
rnacentral:lncRNA from 1 species